rnacentral:rRNA from 1 species
CCUACGGGUGGCAGCAGUCGAGAAUCAUUCACAAUGGGGGAAACCCUGAUGGUGCGACGCCGCGUGGGGGAAUGAAGGUCUUCGGAUUGUAAACCCCUGUCAUGUGGGAGCAAAUUAAAAAGAUAGUACCACAAGAGGAAGAGACGGCUAACUCUGUGCCAGUAGCCGCGGUUAUCCAGAGGUCUCAAGCGUUGUUCGGAAUCACUGGGCGUAACGCGUGCGUAGGCUGUUUCGUAAGUCGUGUGUGAAAGGCGCGGGCUCAACCCGCGGAAGGCACAUGAUACUGCGAGACUAGAGUAAUGGAGGGGGAACCGGAAUUCUCGGUGUAGCAGUGAAAUGCGUAGAUAUCGAGAGGAACACUCGUGGCGAAGGCGGGUUCCUGGACAUUAACUGACGCUGAGGCACGAAGGCCAGGGGAGCGAAAGGGAUUAGAUACCCCAGUAGUC